rnacentral:rRNA from 1 species
GAAGUGAAACAUUACGCAGUACAGUAUGAAGGCUGUCCGCAGCUGGAGUAUUUUAUUACCCUUGUCUUUUGCGCACUUGUUGUUUCCUGGGCGGGUUCGCUCGCCACCAGGACCACCAAAUAAACCUUUUUUAUGCAGUUGCAAUCAGCGUCAGUACAAACAAUGUAAAUCAUUUACAACUUUCAACAACGGAUCUCUUGGUUCUGGCAUCGAUGAAGAACGCAGCGAAAUGCGAUACGUAGUGUGAAUUGCAGAAUUCAGUGAAUCAUCGAAUCUUUGAACGCACAUUGCGCCCUUUGGUAUUCCAAAGGGCAUGCCUGUUCGAGCGUCAUUUGUACCCUCAAGCUUUGCUUGGUGUUGGGCGUUUUUGUCUUUGGUCGCCCAAAGACUCGCCUUAAAGUGAUUGGCAGCCGGCCUUUCUGGUUUCGCAGCGCAGCACAUUUUUGCGCUUGCCAUCAGCAAAACGGCAAUCCAUCAAGCCUCCUUCUCACGUUUGACCUCGGAUCAGGUAGGGAUACCCGCUGAACUUAAGCAUAUCAUUAAAGCGGAGGACAAGCAUAUGACAAACCAGUGGAAGGCUGUCCGCACUGGAAUAUUAAUUACUUGUCUUUGCCCUGUUGUUCGGGCGGUUCUCCCCGGACAAAAACUUUUUUAGCAUUCUCGCGCAAAAAGAAAUUAAUACAAAUUGGGUGGGCAAAAAAACAAAGGAAAAGGGGAAGUAAAA